CGCAGCGCCGCCCUGGGUGGCGGCCUAGGCCCGGGGCCGGGGUGCUGGAGAUAUAGAUAGAUAGAUAUAUAGCUAUAGAUAUAUCUAUAUAUAUAGAUAUAAUAUCUCCAGUGGGCUGGAUAUAUUCAGCCAUUUGGUCCCAAAACAUGACAGUCUUUUUUUUUUUUGUUCCUUCAUUAUUCUGUGACUGAGGUUUUAAGAAACAAUAUCAAAUGCUGUUUAUCCAGACCCAAGACAAAACUUGAACUAAUUGGCAAUGCUGACUGACACGGGAGGCCACGCUGAGGCUGAAGACACGCUAGUCCUUCUUCAUUCUAGGAGAAAAGGAUAAAUAAGUUUCUUUAUGGAGCAUGACAGCCGAAAAUAUAAAAGCCACCAACUGGUACAGCAGCUAGAUAGAAAGCUUGAGCUAAAGCUAACUCAUAAGUAGUAAGAGGAAUUUCUCUUGCAACUGAAGAAAAUGAAGAAGCUGAGGCACUGACUAGAUUCUGCUUGUGCGUAAGGAGCAUAAAGCUAUCAGAAAACGUAGAGCAGAUGAGGAGAUAAAUUAGCGUGAUCUUGAGAGGGAGCCUGAACUCAGAAACUAUGAGCGAGGAAAUUGCUCCUAUUAUUCCUCCUGAUCUUUAGCAAUAAACAGGAUCAUAUCAAAUCUAUCUCAUUCCAUUCUCUAUUUUUCUCCCAAAUAUUGUCUAGCUACAUGGGGCCAAAGGGGCAAGAGCAAAGACUUCAACUGUGGAUGCAGCUAUACUGGACUAAAGUUCGUCC
rnacentral:lncRNA from 1 species